UGGCGGGUCGCCUAACCGGUAGGGCAUCAGACUUUGACUCUGAUUUGUGUUGGUUCGAAUCCAACUCCGCCAA
rnacentral:tRNA from 1 species